AGAGUUUGAUCCUGGCUCAGGACGAACGUUGGCGGCGUGCCUAAUACCUGCAAGUAGAACGCUGAAGGAGGAGCUUGCUUCUCUGGAUGAGUUGCGAACGGGUGAGUAACGCGUAGGUAACCUGCCUGGUAGCGGGGGAUAACUAUUGGAAACGAUAGCUAAUACCGCAUAAGAGUGGAUGUUGCAUGACAUUUGCUUAAAAGGUGCACUUGCAUCACUACCAGAUGGACCUGCGUUGUAUUAGCUAGUUGGUGGGGUAACGGCUCACCAAGGCGACGAUACAUAGCCGACCUGAGAGGGUGAUCGGCCACACUGGGACUGAGACACGGCCCAGACUCCUACGGGAGGCAGCAGUAGGGAAUCUUCGGCAAUGGACGGAAGUCUGACCGAGCAACGCCGCGUGAGUGAAGAAGGUUUUCGGAUCGUAAAGCUCUGUUGUAAGAGAAGAAUGAGUGUGAGAGUGGAAAGUUCACACUGUGACGGUAUCUUACCAGAAAGGGACGGCUAACUACGUGCCAGCAGCCGCGGUAAUACGUAGGUCCCGAGCGUUGUCCGGAUUUAUUGGGCGUAAAGCGAGCGCAGGCGGUUAGAUAAGUCUGAAGUUAAAGGCUGUGGCUUAACCAUAGUAGGCUUUGGAACCUGUUUAACUUGAGUGCAAGAGGGGAGAGUGGAAUUCCAUGUGUAGCGGUGAAAUGCGUAGAUAUAUGGAGGAACACCGGUGGCGAAAGCGGCUCUCUGGCUUGUAACUGACGCUGAGGCUCGAAAGCGUGGGGGGCAAACAGGAUUAGAUACCCUGGUAGUCCACGCUGUAAACGAUGAGUGCUAGGUGUUAGACCCUUUCCGGGGUUUAGUGCCGUAGCUAACGCAUUAAGCACUCCGCCUGGGGAGUACGACCGCAAGGUUGAAACUCAAAGGAAUUGACGGGGGCCCGCACAAGCGGCGGAGCAUGUGGUUUAAUUCGAAGCAACGCGAAGAACCUUACCAGGUCUUGACAUCCCUCUGACCGCUCUAGAGAUAGAGCUUUCCUUCGGGACAGAGGUGACAGGUGGUGCAUGGUUGUCGUCAGCUCGUGUCGUGAGAUGUUGGGUUAAGUCCCGCAACGAGCGCAACCCCUAUUGUUAGUUGCCAUCAUUUAGUUGGGCACUCUAGCGAGACUGCCGGUAAUAAACCGGAGGAAGGUGGGGAUGACGUCAAAUCAUCAUGCCCCUUAUGACCUGGGCUACACACGUGCUACAAUGGCUGGUACAACGAGUCGCAAGCCGGUGACGGCAAGCUAAUCUCUUAAAGCCAGUCUCAGUUCGGAUUGUAGGCUGCAACUCGCCUACAUGAAGUCGGAAUCGCUAGUAAUCGCGGAUCAGCACGCCGCGGUGAAUACGUUCCCGGGCCUUGUACACACCGCCCGUCACACCACGAGAGUUUGUAACACCCGAAGUCGGUGAGGUAACCGUAAGGAGCCAGCCGCCUAAGGUGGGAUAGAUGAUUGGGGUGAAGUCGUAACAAGGUAGCCGUAUCGGAAGGUGCGGCUGGAUCACCU
rnacentral:rRNA from 1 species